rnacentral:rRNA from 1 species
GACGAACGCUGGCGGCGUGCCUAAUACAUGCAAGUCGAGCGGAUCUUGUCCUUCGGGAUAAGAUUAGCGGCGGACGGGUGAGUAACACGUGGGUAACCUGCCUGUAAGACUGGGAUAACAUUCGGAAACGAAUGCUAAUACCGGAUACGCGGUUUGGUCGCAUGACCAAGCCGGGAAAGAUGGAGCAAUCUAUCACUUAC